UACGUAGGGGGCAAGCGUUGUCCGGAAUCAUUGGGCGUAAAGAGCGUGUAGGCGGCUCGGUAAGUCCGCUCUGAAAGCCCGGGGCUCAACCCCGGGAGGCGGGCGGAUACUGUCGGGCUAGAGUCCGGAAGAGGCGAGUGGAAUUCCUGGUGUAGCGGUGAAAUGCGCAGAUAUCAGGAGGAACACCAACGGCGAAGGCAGCUCGCUGGGACGGUACUGACGCUGAGACGCGAAAGCGUGGGGAGCAAACAGG
rnacentral:rRNA from 1 species